UUGGAGCAAAGGGGGCAGAUGCAGUUAUGCAUCUGUGGCACGCCAUUACGGCGUGAAUGAAUCUACAGUGCGCUACAUCAAGAAAGAAGAAGCAAACAUCACCUUCAACAAGGAAGCGAAGCGUGUGGUAACUCCGCGUAAGAGAAUUGUGAAAAUGGAAGCUGCAUUGGCAUUGUGGAUUGCAGGGAAAAGACAUCUGCUUUGGCGCUGCUACAAAAAAGGACAAACUCCGACUGCGACGGACAAUCAAAACUGCUGAAAGGAUUGUCGUACCCCCCUACCCGCCCUUGAGGACUUGCACGCUGCCAGAACUAAGACAAGAGCGUGCAAAAUCCUCUCGGACGCUCCGCAUCCCGGUCACCGGCUCUUCCGGCUCCUUCCCUCAGGGAAGUAGUAGUAGUCUGUGUCGCAACGCCCUUGCUCCGCGCUUGCUUGUCAUGCUAAGCACCUUUGACUUACUUCGAGGUCCAGAGCCUGUGUGGAAGUAGGAGAAAAGGGAGUCCAGCUCAUCGGGACAAAACAAGGACUCUCUUCGAGACUUGGCAGCAACUAAAAAACAAGGAGCCCGCCCAACGGAAACCACUAAUCGGCAUAAACAAGGCUGAUGACGGGCAGGAACCUGAGAAGAGGCUGGACGGAGAAGUGCUCCGUGGCUCCUGUCGGUACCUCCGCCAUGUCUUCGGUACCGUGGUGGCGCUGUU